rnacentral:rRNA from 1 species
UACGGAGGGUGCAAGCGUUGUCCGGAUUUAUUGGGUUUAAAGGGUGCGUAGGUGGCUUUUUAAGUCAGUGGUGAAAGCCUGCAGCUUAACUGUAGGACUGCCAUUGAUACUGAGGAGCUUGAGUACUGAUGAGGUAGGCGGAAUUGAUAGUGUAGCGGUGAAAUGCAUAGAUAUUAUCAAGAACACCGAUUGCGAAGGCAGCUUACUAAGGAGUUACUGACACUGAGGCACGAAAGCGUGGGGAUCAAACAGG